GCUUCUCGCUGGAGUGCGCACCGAGCGGCAGUGACUUCGCCGCUGCUGUAGUUCCCCGGCUGGAUGCGGUGACUGGUGCCAGUGCUCAGGCGCCCGCUGCCCUUGACCUCCCGCCCCGCGAGCCCUAACUCAGCGCAGGAGGACCGGCUGCCGCCGCCGCCGCCGCCAGGUGUUGGUGUCACCCAUGAUCUAUCCUCCUGUAUGGCCAAAUCCCCUGCCCCCAUAGGCCACAGAUGCCAUGGCCCACGUGGCCGGCUUCACUGUGGCUCAUGACGUGAGUGCUCGUGACUGGCUAACAAGAUGCAAUGGGAAACAGUGGCUGCUGGGAAAAACCUUCGACACCUUCUGCCCUCUGGGCCCUGCCUUGGUGACCAAGGACAGUGUAGCAGAUCCACACAACUUAAAGAUCUGCUGUCGAGUGAAUGGGGAAGUGGUCCAGAGCAGCAACACCAACCAGAUGGUAUUCAAGACAGAGGACCUGAUAGCCUGGGUGUCCCAGUUUGUUACCUUUUACCCAGGGGAUGUCAUCCUGACUGGGACCCCCCCACCUCCACCCAGGUGUCGGUGUAUUCAGGAAACCUCCUGUCUUUCUCAAGGUCUCUGAAGGUCCAGACAGCACUGAUGGCGAGCUUUGGGUCCGCACACUCUGGAAAGAAGAGAGAAGUGAAGGCUCUAGGGGGCAGCAGCCACCAGCAAACACCACUGCCUGCAGGAGCCUGGGCUGACUGGUUGGGACUCACCGAAGAUCCCUUCUUCCUGGGCGGUGGCCUGCAGGAACUGGAACAGCUGCUCUGUGUAGCCCAACUCUGCAGAAGAGAGAAGACCUAGACCUGGCACCCAGCACAGACACAGCCUGCCUCGAGGACUGCAAGGGAACAAGGGCCUCACCAGUAUCGGGCAGCUGGCCCUGGCGGAGGAAGGCGGCAGCCUGUGCAAAGGCCUUGAGCAGCGGGCUGAGCAGGCGGCAGAGGAAAAGAAAGAAAUCUGGGCAGUGUGACUGCUGGCUGAGCUGGAGGGGACAGGCCGGGGUGAGUGCAGCUCCCCACCGCCUCCCUACCACCUCCCUCCAGGGGCAGCUUUUUGAAACACACCCUGAAGUACCGGCCGUCAGCCUCUCCGAAGUCAUCACUGUCACUAUCAGUAAAGUCCCCACUCGGUUUCCACAGCA
rnacentral:lncRNA from 1 species